CCCCUAGAUGUUCUGGGCCACACGCGCGCUACACUGAACAGUUCAACAAGUCUUAACCUUGGCCGAUAGGUCUGGGUAAUCUUUGAACGCUGUUCGUGAUUGGGAUAGACCUUUGCAAUUAUGGGUCUUCAACGAGGAAUUCCUAGUAAACGCAAGUCAUCAGCUUGCAUUGAUUACGUCCCUGCCCUUUGUACACACCGCCCGUCGCACCUACCGAUUGAAUGGUCCGGUGAAAUCUCGGGACGGCGGCUUGGUCGCUUGCGUCCGACUGCUGAAACUUGAUUAAACCAUAUCAUUUAGAGGAAGGUGAAGUCGUANCA
rnacentral:rRNA from 1 species